rnacentral:rRNA from 1 species
GAUGAACGCUGGCGGCGUGCCUAAUACAUGCAAGUCGAGCGGACGGACGAGAAGCUUGCUUCUCUGAUGUUAGCGGCGGACGGGCGAGUAACACGUGGAUAACAUACCUAUAAUACUGGGAUAACUUCGGGAAACCGGAGCUAAUACCGGAUGAUAUUUUGAACCGCAUGGUGCAAAAGUGAAAGACGGUCUUGCUGUCACUUAUAGAUGGAUCCGCGCUGCAUUAGCUAGUUGGUAAGGUAACGGCUUACCAAGGCAACGAUGCAUAGCCGACCUGAGAGGGUGAUCGGCCACACUGGAACUGAGACACGGUCCAGACUCCUACGGGAGGCAGCAAUAGGGAAUCUUGCGCAAUGGGCGAAAGCCUGACGGAGCAACGCCGCGUGAGUGAUGAAGGUCUUCGGGUCGUAAAACUCUGUUAUUAGGGAAGAACAGAUGUGGAAGUAACUGUGCACAUCUUGACGGUACCUAAUCAGAAAGCCCCGGCUAACUACGUG